rfam:Drosophila busckii chromosome 2L sequence.
AACCUUGUGCAGUGGCAAUAUUGCUAACAAUGAGGCUUCAACCGAGUUGCAAUUAUUGCUAGUUGAAAACUUUAACCAAUAACCCGCUACUUAGUGAGCUGAGCUCACUUUGCGGCAAUUUUUUAAGGCUCGCAAGAGC